UACGUAGGGGGCAAGCGUUGUCCGGAUUUAUUGGGCGUAAAGAGCGUGUAGGCGGCCUGGAAGGUCAGCUGUGAAAACUCGAGGCUCAACCUCGAGACGUCGGUUGAAACCACCUGGCUAGAGUCCGGAAGAGGAGAGUGGAAUUCCCGGUGUAGCGGUGAAAUGCGCAGAUAUCGGGAAGAACACACGUGGCGAAGGCGGCGCUCGGGGACGGUACUGACGCUGAGACGCGAAAGCGUGGGGAGCGAACAGG
rnacentral:rRNA from 1 species